rnacentral:rRNA from 1 species
UGGGGAAUUUUGGACAAUGGGCGCAAGCCUGAUCCAGCCAUGCCGCGUGUGUGAAGAAGGCCUUCGGGUUGUAAAGCACUUUCGGACGGAACGAAAUCGCGCGGGCGAAUACCCCGCGUGGAUGACGGUACCGUAAGAAGAAGCACCGGCUAACUACGUGCCAGCAGCCGCGGUAAUACGUAGGGUGCGAGCGUUAAUCGGAAUUACUGGGCGUAAAGUGUGCGCAGGCGGCGCCGCAAGUCGAGUGUGAAAGCCCCGGGCUUAACUUGGGAAUUGCGCUCGAAACUAUGGUGCUGGAGUGUGGCAGAGGAAGGUGGAAUUCCACGUGUAGCGGUGAAAUGCGUAGAGAUGUGGAGGAACACCGAUGGCGAAGGCAGCCUUCUGGGCCAACACUGACGCUCAUGCACGAAAGCGUGGGGAGCAAACAG